rnacentral:rRNA from 1 species
GAUGAACGCUGGCGGCGUGCCUAAUACAUGCAAGUCGAGCGAACGGACGAGUAUCUUUCUUCUCUGAUGUUAGCGGCGGACGGGUGAGUAACACGUGGAUAACCUACCUAUAAGACUGGGAUAACUUCGGGAACCCUGAGCUAAUACCGGAUAAUAUUUUUAACCGCAUGGUUCAUUACUUCAAGACGGUCUUGCUGUCUCUUAUAGAUUGAUACGCGCUUCAUUAGCUCGUUGGUAAGGGAACGGCUUACCACGGCAACGCUGAAUAGCCGACAUGAGCGGGUGAUCGGCCAAACUGGAAGGGAGACAGGGACCAGAGUCCUACGGGAGGCAGCAGUAGGGAAUCUGACGCAAUGAGCGAAAGCCUGACGGAGAAAAGCCGCGUGAGUGAUGAAGGUCUUCGGAUCGUAAAACUCUGUUAUGAGGGAAGAACAAAUGAGGAAGAAACUGAGCACGACUUGACGGUAAAUAAUAAGAAAGCGACGGCUAACGACGUG